rnacentral:rRNA from 1 species
GACGAACGCUGGCGGCGUGCUUAACACAUGCAAGUCGAACGCUGAAGCUUGGUGCUUGCACUGGGUGGGUGAGUGGCGCACGGGUGAGUAAUACGUGAGUAACCUGCCCUUGACUCUGGGAUAAGCCUGGGAAACUGGGUCUAAUACUGGAUACGACAUGUCACCGCAUGGUGGUGUGUGGAAAGGGGUUUACUGGUUUUGGAUGGGCUCACGGCCUAUCAGCUUGUUGGUGGGGUAAUGGCUCACCAAGGCGACGACGGGUAGCCGGCCUGAGAGGGUGACCGGCCACACUGGGACUGAGACACGGCCCAGACUCCUACGGGAGGCAGCAGUGGGGAAUAUUGCACAAUGGGCGGAAGCCUGAUGCAGCGACGCCGCGUGAGGGAUGACGGCCUUCGGGUUGUAAACCUCUUUCAGCACGGAAGAAGCGAAAGUGACGGUACGUGCAGAAGAAGCGCCGGCUAACUACGUG